UACAGAGGGUGCGAGCGUUGUUCGGAAUUAUUGGGCGUAAAGCGCUGGUAGGUGGCUUGUUAAGUCGCGUGUGAAAGCUCCAGGCUCAACCUGGAAAGUGCGCGCGAAACUGGCGAGCUUGAGUGCCGGAGAGGGUCGUGGAAUUCCCGGUGUAGAGGUGAAAUUCGUAGAUAUCGGGAGGAACACCAGAGGCGAAGGCGACGACCUGGAAGGUAACUGACACUGAGAAGCGAAAGCGUGGGGAGCAAACAGG
rnacentral:rRNA from 1 species